UACGUAUGGUGCAAGCGUUAUCCGGAUUUACUGGGCGUAAAGGGAGCGCAGGCGGUGCGCCAAGUCUGAUGUGAAACCCCGGGGCUCAACCCCGGGCAUGCAUUGGAAACUGGCGGGCUGGAGUGCCGGAGAGGUAAGCGGAAUUCCUAGUGUAGCGGUGAAAUGCGUAGAUAUUAGGAGGAACACCAGUGGCGAAGGCGGCUUACUGGACGGCAACUGACGCUGAGGCUCGAGAGCGUGGGGAGCAAACAGG
rnacentral:rRNA from 1 species